rnacentral:rRNA from 1 species
CCUACGGGAGGCAGCAGUGGGGAAUAUUGGGCAAUGGGCGCAAGCCUGACCCAGCAACGCCGCGUGAAGGAAGAAGGCUUUCGGGUUGUAAACUUCUUUUCUCAGGGACGAAGAAAGUGACGGUACCUGAGGAAUAAGCCACGGCUAACUACGUGCCAGCAGCCGCGGUAAUACGUAGGUGGCAAGCGUUAUCCGGAUUUAUUGGGUGUAAAGGGCGUGUAGGCGGGAGCGCAAGUCAGAUGUGAAAACUCAGGGCUCAACCCUGAGCCUGCAUUUGAAACUGGGUUUCUUGAGUGCUGGGGAGGCAAUCGGAAUUCGGGGUGUAGCGGUGAAAUGCGUAGAUAUACGGAGGAACACCAGUGGCGAAGGCGGAUUGCUGGACAGUAACUGACGCUGAGGCGCGAAAGCGUGGGGAGCAAACAGGAUUAGAUACCCGAGUAGUC